rnacentral:rRNA from 1 species
CCUACGGGAGGCAGCAGUAGGGAAUCUUCCACAAUGGACGAAAGUCUGAUGGAGCAACGCCGCGUGAGUGAAGAAGGGUUUCGGCUCGUAAAGCUCUGUUGGUCGGGAAGAAAGAUAGAGGUAGUAACUCGCCUUUAUUUGACGGUAAUUACUUAGAAAGUCACGGCUAACUACGUGCCAGCAGCCGCAGUACUCCGUAGGUGGCUAGCGUUGUCCGGAUUUAUUGGGCGUAAAGCCAGGGCAGGCGGUUCAGUAAUUCUGAUGUGAAAGCCUUGGGCGUAACCGGAGAAUUGCAUCUGAAACUGGUGAACUUGAGUGCAGAAGAGGAGAGUGGAACGCCAGGUGUAGCGGUGGAAUGCGUAGAUAUAUGGAAGAACACCAGUGGCGAAGGCGGCUCUCUGGUCUGCAACUGACGCUGAGGCUCGAAAGCAUGGGUAGCGAACAGGAUUAGAUACCCCGGUAGUC